rnacentral:rRNA from 1 species
UACGUAGGGGGCAAGCGUUAUCCGGAUUUACUGGGUGUAAAGGGGGCGCAGACGGCGAUGCAAGCCAGGAGUGAAAGCCCGGGGCCCAACCCCGGGACUGCUCUUGGAACUGCGUGGCUGGAGUGCAGGUGGGGCAGGCGGAAUUCCUGGUGUAGCGGUGAAAUGCGUAGAUAUCAGGAGGAACACCGGCGGCGAAGGCGGCCUGCUGGACCGCGACUGACGUUGAGGCUCGAAAGCGUGGGGAGCGAACAGG